rnacentral:rRNA from 1 species
UACGUAGGAGGCAAGCGUUGUCCGGAAUUACUGGGCGUAAAGCGCGUGUAGGUGGUGGGACAAGUCUGCUGUGAAAGCGCCUGGCUUAACCGGGCGAGGUCGGCGGAAACUGUCCGACUCGAGGACGGUAGAGGGGGGUGGAAUUCCCGGUGUAGUGGUGAAAUGCGUAGAUAUCAGGAAGAACACCAAUGGCGAAAGCAGCUUUCUGGGACGGUACUGACGCUGAGACGCGAAAGCGUGGGGAGCGAACAGG